rnacentral:misc_RNA from 1 species
AACUUUCGGCAAUGGAUCACUUGGCUCUCGCAUCGAUGAAGAACGCAGCGAAAUGCGAUCAGUAAUGUGAAUUGCAGAAUUCAGUGAAUCAUCGAAUCUUUGAACGCACCUUGCGCCCCUAGGUUAUUCCUUGGGGCAUGCCUGUUUGAGUAUCAUGAACGCCUCAACUCUCACGGUCUUCCGUGACGAGCUUGGACUUUGGGGGUUUGCUGGCCCUGCGGCCGGCUCCUCUCAAACAAAUCAGCUUGUCAGUGUUUGGCGGCAUCUCACGGGUGUGAUAACUAUCUACGCUCGCGGUUGUCUGCCAGGUAACCCUCAGCAAUGAAGGUUCAUUGGGGCUCAUAAACGUCUCUCCUCGGCGAGGACAGCUUUUGAACGUUCGAUCUCAAAUCAGGUAGGACUACCCGCUGAAAUUAAGCAUAUCAAUAAGCGGAGGCU